rnacentral:rRNA from 1 species
AUUGAACGCUGGCGGCAGGCCUAACACAUGCAAGUCGAGCGGAUGAAGGGAGCUUGCUCCUGGAUUCAGCGGCGGACGGGUGAGUAAUGCCUAGGAAUCUGCCUGGUAGUGGGGGAUAACGUCCGGAAACGGGCGCUAAUACCGCAUACGUCCUGAGGGAGAAAGUGGGGGAUCUUCGGACCUCACGCUAUCAGAUGAGCCUAGGUCGGAUUAGCUAGUUGGUGGGGUAAAGGCCUACCAAGGCGACGAUCCGUAACUGGUCUGAGAGGAUGAUCAGUCACACUGGAACUGAGACACGGUCCAGAAUCCUACGGGAGGCAGCAGUGGGGAAUAUUGGACAAUGGGCGAAAGCCUGAUCCAGCCAUGCCGCGUGUUUGAAGAAGGUCUUCGGAUUGUAAAGAACUUUAAGUUGGGAGGAAGGGCAGUAAGUUAAUACCUUGCUGUUUUGACGUUACCAACAGAAUAAGCACCGGCUAACUUCGUG